AACGAACGCUGGCGGCAUGCCUAACACAUGCAAGUCGAACGAGACCUUCAGGUCUAGUGGCGCACGGGUGCGUAACGCGUGGGAACCUGCCCUUAGGUUCGGAAUAACUCUCCGAAAGGGGUGCUAAUACCGGAUAAUGUCUUCGGACCAAAGAUUUAUCGCCUUUGGAUGGGCCCGCGUUGGAUUAGCUAGUUGGUAGGGUAAAAGCCUACCAAGGCGACGAUCCAUAGCUGGUCUGAGAGGAUGAUCAGCCACACUGGGACUGAGACACGGCCCAGACUCCUACGGGAGGCAGCAGUGGGGAAUAUUGGACAAUGGGCGAAAGCCUGAUCCAGCAAUGCCGCGUGAGUGAUGAAGGCCUUAGGGUUGUAAAGCUCUUUUACCCGGGAUGAUAAUGACAGUACCGGGAGAAUAAGCUCCGGCUAACUCCGU
rnacentral:rRNA from 1 species